AAUUUGUUCAUAGCGAUGUAGCUUUAUUGAACUAUAUUUGAUAAGAAUUAAUACAUCCUCAAUACUUUUUUUUUGCAAUAAGAGGCAAUGAAAAUAAAAUAAAUCAAUGCAAACGUCUAUUUUUUAAACAGAUGUCAAUUAAAAUACUGAGUUUAACAAAUAACAACAUAAUAACAAAAAAAUUUUUUUUUUAUAAAUAGAAGACAUGUAAGAUUAUAAAUACAAUCUCCUUUGGUUAAUUUCAACUAGAUCAUUAUACGCCCCAAACAAUCGCUAAUAGAACUAGAGACACAAACAUGUUACGUUAAAAUGGAAAUGUUAAUUGAGACACUAUGUUUUAUGUCAGUGUUUCUCAACGUUUUGCUUGACACAUUACCCAUCCCAAACAAAGAAAGUAAGUGGAAGCCUUUCUCUAUUCUGAAGUUAUGAUUUCUUUUAAAGGCACUUAGCUGGUAUUAAUAAUAUAUUUUUUACACAUAUUUUGUAAGUAAAAGACAAAUCAAGUACACCAAUUUAUAUUUUAAUAAAAAUAUAUGACAGAAUGGAACAAGCUUUAAAAAAUGUUGAACACGUGAUGUGUGCUAGACACUUAAAGAAAUUAUAAAGAUAGGGCUGAUUCGGUGACAUAAAUUUAAAAAAAAAAUUAAAAAUCUUUUAACGGAAUCUUACAGACACUGAGACCCACAAUGCCCUUAAAUGCUUCUAAUAGCUGAGUGGAAGCUUUGAAAAAUGUGAAUAAUGCUUCUAAGAAUAAAUAAAAAACAAUUGGCAACAUAAAAUCUAUAUCUAUUUACAAAUGUUAUUUACAAAUUGAAGCUUAAAAAAGCAAAUUUAGUUUUGCGAGUAUAAGUUUAUAACAAUUUUUUUUAAUCACAAUAAUUUUACUUUUUAUUUUUAUGGUUUUCAAUAAAAAACAACAAUCAAACAAGAUUACAAAAAGAAAACAGGUAGCUUGACAGGUUUUGAUACUGUCACAACGCAGCCAUGAACUACAAGCUACCAGAAACCACAAUCAAGAACAAUAAUAAUAAAACAAAGACACGAUGAAUUGUUUGUAUUUCAUAGCAACCUCUUCUCCCAAAAUACGAAAUAGCUGCAGGAAUAAGUUUAUUUGUAUAUAUAUAGUUAUCAAAAUGAAACAUAUGUAUAUAUAUAUAUAUUUUUUUUU